UCGGACGUCGCAGGCAUGAGCCACAUC
rnacentral:piRNA from 1 species